CCAAAAAAAAUACUCUCCACUGGCUACCACACACAGCACGGAGACUCCAUUUUUUCACCACAAUUCCUUCGACCUCACCGUCACACACCCAUAUACAUUUCACACUCUUAAUUCCACCGGGAUACACACAGAAAUGGAUAGAUAAGAGAUGAUGUGAGAAAGAGAGAGCUGCGAGAGAGUGAGAGAGAUCUGCGAGAGAGUUAUCUGCGAGAGAGUGACAGAGAGCUGUGAGAGAGGGAGAGAUAUGCGAUUGAAAUCAAAAGAGAACGAUGGCGAAGCAGUUUUCGGCGAGUGAGAGCUUGAGGAACAUGAGUUUGAUAGUUUGAUUACUGUUCCGGCAACAGGCUCGCCGAAAUCGCAUCCAGCUGUCAUAAAUUCGUUCAAAACCUAUCGAAUACAUCUCAACUGAUAUCUCUUUGUUGUUUUGGUUAUAGCCAAAGUUUACCAGGGUUACAGUGACACAAAAUCAUCAAACAAACCUCGAUCUGCUUUUGAUUCCAUCCAAACCCAUUGGAAUCGGGCCGAAUUUCUCUUAUUUCUCAUAAUUUUUAGUUCAAGGUUGUGUGGGUUCAUGAGAAUCUGGUCCAGGUCUCUUUGUUUCUGUGAUUCUCAGUUCUGAGUUGGAUGAGUUCAUUUGUUUGAGGUUCGGUUCGAGGUUUUCGGGCGCGGAUUCUCUUUAUUCGAAUAACAUUGAGUUUGAAAGCUACGAAUUGAGGGAAUGCCCCGAAGUAUCAUGUACGCAGAGGAGGCACGUGAUCAAGGUCCGAGGCAUCGGGUAAGGCAUUGGAACGCAGUUUUAGGAUUUGCUUAAAAUAGGAUUUAUAUUUUACGCAUUUUUCUAUUUUGGACUGUAUAAUUGGACUGGAAACUAAAUUUUGAUUUGUUUCAUUUUGUUUUCUU